UCUUUUAAUUGAAGGCUAGAAUGAAUGGUUGGAUGAAACAUUAACUGUCUUAUAAAAAAUUAAUAUAAAAUUUUAUUUUUUAAUUAAAAAGUUAAAAUGUUAUUAAAAGACGAGAAGACCCUAUAGAGUUUUAUAUUAUUAUAAUUUAAAUAGUUUAGAAUUCUUUUGUUUUAAUUAAAAAUAAUAUUUUAUUGGGGUGAUAAUAAAAUUAAAUAAACUUUUAUGAUUAAUUAUCAUAAAUUAAUGAUUUAAUGAUCCAUUAUUAAUGAUUAAAAAUUUAAAUUACCUUAGGGAUAACAGCGUUAUAUUUUUGGAGAGUUCUUAUCGAUAAAAAAGAUUGC
rnacentral:rRNA from 1 species